rnacentral:lncRNA from 1 species
CGGAUAAUCGCUGAUCACCGCAUUUAAACCCCGACAGCUUCACGUUACCCCUACUGCCAAACAAUGAACCCCGUUCUCCAUUUGAACCCCAGUCGCCUGACGAUAACUCACGAUCGUCGUUGUGAACCCCGUUCUCAAGAAAACACCCCGUGUCUGCCUUUCUCCAUUUGAACCCCGCUCUCCAGAAAACACCCCGUGUCUUCCUU